UGGACUGGAUUGACACCCUCUA
rnacentral:siRNA from 1 species